UGGGGAAUAUUGGACAAUGGGCGCAAGCCUGAUCCAGCCAUGCCGCGUGAGUGAUGAAGGCCCUAGGGUUGUAAAGCUCUUUCACCGGUGAAGAUAAUGACGGUAACCGGAGAAGAAGCCCCGGCUAACUUCGUGCCAGCAGCCGCGGUAAUACGAAGGGGGCUAGCGUUGUUCGGAUUUACUGGGCGUAAAGCGCACGUAGGCGGACUUUUAAGUCAGGGGUGAAAUCCCGGGGCUCAACCCCGGAACUGCCUUUGAUACUGGAAGUCUUGAGUAGGGUAGGGGUGAGUGGAAUUCCGGGUGUAGAGGUGAAAUUCGUAGAUAUUCGGAGGAACACCAGUGGCGAAGGCGGCUCACUGGACGAUUACUGACGCUGGGGUGCGAAAGCGUGGGGAGCAAACAGG
rnacentral:rRNA from 1 species